AGGUCAUUCAUUAGUUUCAAAGUUAAUUAUCAUCCUACAUUGAAAAAGUAUCCAUCAUACAAACAUCCUACAUCAAAUCCAAAAAAAUAUUGUUGAUCAUAAUACAUGUGAGUAAAAAAUGAGGUUACUUGAGUGUCAAAGUUACACCAUCUGCAUGAUCAAAAUAUGAAUGUAUUAGUUUAUAAACUUUAGAUCUAAAAAAUAUUAAAGAAUUAACUUUGUAUCAAACUUACCAUCAUCAAUCAUCAAUCGAACUUAGAAACUCUGCCCACUCUAUCCUCAUUUCAUCAAUCUCUUUUUUGGAAUAACAUCCUCCUGUGAACUAUAAAUACAAAAUUGUGAUCAUUAAGUAAUACAUCAUAAAUGAAACCUUGAACUAAAAUUUGAUUAAAAUUCUAAAUUAUAAUUACCAACGUAGCUAAUGGGAGAGAGUGAUCGGAUACAAGAUUGUCAAAGACAUCUCUCAUGAAUCGCAUAACAUAAAAUCCACAUUGUG
rnacentral:lncRNA from 1 species